GCAUCUGAUCCAAAUUUAUUCGGAUCCUGAUAUCUAAAACGAAGAAUUCGCUAACCGGAUACUACCCCGCUCGCCUUCACCGUCCUCCAUCUAUAUAUUUUGCAUCCCCCUCCGACCUCUAUCGACGCUUCCCGUUCUUGUUCGGUCCUCUCGCUCGGUUCGUUUUUUAUGGCUCGAGUCCUUUCUGCCCCAACCCUAAUCAGGGCCUCUCCGGCUGCCGAGAGGGCGGAGCUCGAGCCGGAGGGCUUCUCGGAGAUCAAGGUACUGGUGAUUCGCCGCCUCGAGGAUGCCAUCGUAGUUCGUUGAGAGGCCCCCGAUUGGUUGCCCUUCAUCCCCGGCUCCUCCUACUUGGUCCCGCCCCACAGUCGCUCCUGUGGCGUCGCAGAGCUCGUCAGCAAGCUCGCGAAGCCGAUGACAGAGGAGGAGAUUGUAUCGUUUACCAUUAUUCGUGGAUGAUCCUCGGUCUAUUUUAUGAAAGGUUCUAAAGGUGGGGCUAAUGAUGGACGUGGACAAGAAGUGAGGCAGGAAAAAAUCUUCAGAGACAAGCUUUUGUGUGAAGAUUUUAGCUUGACUUGGCUCUCAUCCUCAAGUUGGCAGCUGUGAUGUUUCUGCUCAGUCGGAUGGAUAAGAACAGAAACUUAUGCUUCGGAUGCUGUGUGCCUCACUGGUGUACCUAUAUAGAACUAUAGCUCUUCCCCCCUUACAAGAUGGCUUCAACAAGCAGGAGCACCUACUCAGCCUCAAUAUGUCAAUAUGGGACAUGGCUUUCCUGGUGGCCAUGAUGAUGGGAAUAAUCCUUAAACUGGCAUCUACUAUAAAGAACUCAGGAGUUGAGCUGCAGAACCAGAUUCAACUCACAGCAGACCAUAUUGCUGGAUUAUCGUGAAAGUGAACCGAGUGCCUGUCACUGGUUUUUUGACCCUCUCUUUUGCCAGGUUUUCAUCACAAUGAUUAUGCUGAGAGGCCAGAGCUAAGACAAGACAAGCAUCUUUGAAAGGCAAGUUCUUCUUCACUAAUUAAUUUACUUCUUGUGAAUACUUUCGCGCUCUUAUCUACUUCUAUCAGCAAUUCCAUCCUUUUGACUUUUAUCUUAAGAAUUAUAUAUUACUUUGAUCUCCUCUAGUUAGCAAGGAUGGAUUUUGUGGGUCCACCAGUACAAGUAUGAUAUAAUUCGACCACGUUAUAAUGUCUCAUCAGAGUGAUCUGCAUCUACUAAUACAUCUGUGAGUGGGUACGCCAAUAUAAUGGUGUUGAAAUGAAAAUUUUAGUCUAGUAUAGGGUCUACGUGGGCUUCAUUCUGUUUUCCCAUGCGUGGGCACCGCAUAUUAUAGAUUGCUCCACAACAUUUUGGCUUCUGAUCAUGAUGUAUAUGGCGGGUCAGAUAGGAUGUCUGUUGUUUAUUGUGAGUGAAGAUUAUGAUAUCGAUAGUGUUACAGGACAUGAGUUAGAUGAGUUGCUACCAUAGUCUCAUAGUAUAGUUACCAAGAUCGGAUUGGAUUGAUUGGUCCAACCAGAAAUCCCUGAAUCAGAUCCUGAUCAUUCUGGUUCGUUAAUUGGAUCGUCCUUCUAUUAUUAUUGAUCAUAAUACUCUUAAAAUAUAGAUACUCAUAUAUUUUUUGAGAAUAUUUUAUUUAUAAAAUAAUGCUUUAUUAAUUAUUGAUAUCCAUCUGUAAUGUCUAUCAUCCUCCCCAUCGUAUAUCAUUUUUUAUUUUUUAAUUAAUUUCUCUUUUAUUUUCUUGCUUUGGCCUUUUAUAUGUCUCUCGAAUUGUAGCUUUUUUUUUUAAUCGUCAUAAUCCUUUUCGCUUUCUUUACUAUUAUAAUUUUUAUUUUACCAUAAUGUCAUGUGUUGAUCUAUUUUUUCUAUCACCUGAAGUUGACAUUUAUAUUUUCAUCUUUCUGAUAUCAACUAAGAUGCUCCAUCGGGUUCGAUGGAGUGGGGUAAUAGC